rnacentral:RNase_MRP_RNA from 1 species
GGGCAUUCGGAAGGCUUGCUAUCUGGGCUACAUGCAGAGAACACUGUUUCUCCCCCGCCUGCCCAGGGGAAAGUCCCCGGACUCGUGGCAGAAAGUGCCCUGGAUGAUUCCAACGUCGGCACGCACUCCUCCUCCAAAGCUAAGAUGCUCUCAUGAGCUGAGCUCGGAGAUUGCUUGUCGACUUUGUCAGCGUUACUAGUAAUGCAAGUGAGCAUGUACUGGCGCUCAAACAGAACGGGGCUCAUUCUCGGAAUGCU